UUUGAUGCUGUGGAGCAUGACUCCAAGUGUUAGAAAACUGGUUUUUUUGCUUCAGACACAGGGAAGAAGUGAUCAAGGGCUAGGGUCCCAGCCAGUAUGUGCUACUGCUGUUAGACACUCAGUGCAUAUCUUACAGCAACAGCUCUUUCCCUUUUGCUUUCAGUAGGCGAAGCCAGGGAUCAUGCCUGGGAGAUUAAUGUGAUGAGGAUGAGCCUGCGAAGCCUUUGGUCCUCCUUGUGUGAGCCUGCUCUGCUUGCUCAUACACAGCACACCUUUGGGAACUCACUGCAUAAGGCCCUCUUGUACUGCCAUGAGCUAAGGGGAGCCAUUUUCCUGCUCCACGCAGGCUGCCCUGUGUUCUUGCUGGGGGAACAAGGCCACAACACCCUUCACCCUGAGUUCAACAGCAGUGCUUUCCAGGGGGUGCCUUGGGGCAGGAUGGCAUGAGUAGCUGGAAAGCCACAGCAGAGCCUAGCCCUGCGAAAAGGCAUUUUCACAGCCUCCCAGGGAGUGCCUUCCUUGCCUCUAGUUAAGAUUUAUACCGACUGCCGCUCUGCUUACUACGGUUGAGAGGAUGGGUGAUAUGGCCUAACAGGGUGGAAGUAUUGAUCGAAAUGAAACUUUGACAAAUGGCUGGAACAGAAUCUUGAGAAAGUUCCUUGACUGUUCCUUUCCAUUCAAAAAGAGAAUUUCAGAGUAAAUUUGAUCAGUUCAAUUGUUCAAAG
rnacentral:lncRNA from 1 species